GCGAAAGUAAGACUAAUACCCAAUGAUAUCUCUAGAAGGCAUCUGAAAGAGAUUAAAGAUUUAUCGGUGAUGGAUGGGGAUGCGUCUGAUUAGCUUGUUGGCGGGGUAACGGCCCACCAAGGCUACGAUCAGUAGGGGUUCUGAGAGGAAGGUCCCCCACAUUGGAACUGAGACACGGUCCAAACUCCUACGGAGGGCAGCAGUGAGGAAUAUUGGUCAAUGGACGAGAGUCUGAACCAGCCAAGUAGCGUGCAGGAUGACGGCCCUAUGGGUUGUAAACUGCUUUUAUAAGGGAAUAAAGUGAGUCUCGUGAGACUUUUUGCAUGUACCUUAUGAAUAAGGACCGGCUAAUUCCGUGCCAGCAGCCGCGGUAAUACGGAAGGUCCGGGCGUUAUCCGGAUUUAUUGGGUUUAAAGGGAGCGUAGGCCGGAGAUUAAGCGUGUUGUGAAAUGUAGACGCUCAACGUCUGCACUGCAGCGCGAACUGGUUUCCUUGAGUACGCACAAAGUGGGCGGAAUUCGUGGUGUAGCGGUGAAAUGCUUAGAUAUCACGAAGAACUCCGAUUGCGAAGGCAGCUCACUGGAGCGCAACUGACGCUGAAGCUCGAAAGUGCGGGUAUCGAACAGGAUUAGAUACCCUGGUAGUCCGCACGGUAAACGAUGGAUGCCCGCUGUUGGUCUGAAUAGGUCAGCGGCCAAGCGAAAGCAUUAAGCAUCCCACCUGGGGAGUAC
rnacentral:rRNA from 1 species